UUAGAUGUCCGGGGCCGCACGCGCGCUACACUGAAGGAAUCAGCGUGUGCUCUCCCUGUCUGGCAAGACUGGGUAAUCCGCCGAACCUCCUUCGUGAUAGGGAUAGGGGCUUGUAACUGUUCCCCUCGAACGAGGAAUUCCCAGUAAGCGCGAGUCAUAAGCUCGUGUUGAUUACGUCCCUGCCCUUUGUACGCACCGCCCGUCGCUACUACCGAUUGAAUGAUUUAGUGAGGUCUUGGAACUGGCGCAGGAGCGGCCCUCCGGCCGGGCCGACGUGCCGGAAAGAUGACCGAACUUGAUCAUUUAGAGGAAGUAAAAGUCGUAACAAGGUUUCC
rnacentral:rRNA from 1 species